rnacentral:rRNA from 1 species
AAUCGAACCCGGAGAUAGCUGGUUCUCCUCGAAAUAGCUUUAGGGCUAGCCUCAUGGAUCAUUGAUGGGGGUAGAGCACUGAAUGUGCGCGGGGGCCACAAAGCCUACCAAACGCUAUCAAACUUCGAAUACCAUACAAUGCAGACCAUGGGAGUCAGUCCGCGAGAGAUAAGUUCCGCGGGCAAAAGGGGAACACCCCAGAUCAACCGCUAAGGUCCCCAAGUUCACGUUAAGUGGAGAAGGAUGUGGAAUUGCACAGACAACCAGGAUGUUGGCUCAGAAGCAGCCACACAUUUAAAGAGUGCGUAAUAGCUCACUGGUCGAGUGAUUGUGCGCCGAAGAUGUCCGGGGCUAAACGUGACACCGAAGCGAUGGGUGCAUCUGAAAGGAUGCGCGGUAGAGGAGCAAUGUGCAGAGGCAGAAGCCGUAUCGAGAGGCACGGUGGACACUGCACAAGAGAGAAUGCCGGUAUGAGUAGCGAGAGGCAUGCGAGAAACAUGCCCGUCGAAAGCCCAAGGUUUCCUGGGGAAGGUUCAUCCGCCCAGGGUAAGUCGGGGCCUAAGCCGAGGACGGAAGUCGUAGGCGAUGGACAGCAGGUGUAGAUUCCUGCACUACCGAUGGAAUGAAGCAGUGACACAGAAGGAUAACUCGAGCAGGGUGAUGGUCAACCCUGUGCAAGCAUCAAGGUUGGGUUGUAGUGAAGUACGCAACCCUAUAAGCUGAGGUGUGAUGCGGACCGAAAUUUCAGUAGGGAAGCGAGUGAGUUCACGCUGGCGAGAAAAGCUGCUAGUACAUCCAAAGGUACCCGUACCGGAAACCGACGCAGGUGGGCGAGGAGAGAAUCCUGAGACGAACGGGAGAACCCUUGUUAAGGAACUCGGCAAAAUGACCCCGUAACUUCGGGAUAAGGGGUGCCUGCGAGAGCAGGCCGCAGAGAAUAGUCACAAGCGACUGUUUAGCAAAAACACAGGUAUCUGCGAAAGCGAGAGCUGACGUAUAGGUGCUGACACCUGCCCGGUGCUGGAAGGUUAAGGGAACAUGUUAGAGCAAUCGAAGCAUCGAACCGAAGCCCCAGUAAACGGCGGCCGUAACUAUAACGGUCCUAAGGUAGCGAAAUUCCUUGUCGGGUAAGUUCCGACCCGCACGAAUGGUGUAACGACUUGUGAGCUGUCUCAACAGGGGGCCCGGUGAAAUUGAAGUAUGGGUGAAGAUGCCCAUUACCCGCGACUGGACGGAAAGACCCCGUAGAGCUUUACUGCAGCCUGAUAUUGAGUUUCGGUAACUGAUGCACAGGAUAGGUGGGAGUCUGAGAGACAUGGGUUUCGGCUCAUGUGGAGACGGUGUUGGGAUACCACUCUUCGGUUACUGAAAUUCUAACAUAGCUCUGUGAAACCAGAGGAUGGACAGUGUCAGGUGGACAGUUUGACUGGGGCGGUCGCCUCCGAAAGAGUAACGGAGGCGCCCAAAGGUACCCUCAGAAUGGAUGGAAACCAUUCGAAGAGCGCAAAGGCAGAAGGGUGCCUGACUGCGAGAUUGACAAAUCGAGCAGAGACGAAAGUCGGGCUUAGUGAUCCGGCGGUAUUGAGUGGAAAAGCCGUCGCUUAACGGAUAAAAGCUACCUCGGGGAUAACAGGCUGAUCUCCCCCAAGAGUCCACAUCGACGGGGAGGUUUGGCACCUCGAUGUCGGCUCAUCGCAUCCUGGGGCUGUAUUCGGUCCCAAGGGUUUGGCUGUUCGCCAAUUAAAGCGGUACGCGAGCUGGGUUCAGAACGUCGUGAGACAGUUCGGUCCCUAUCCGGCGUGGGCGUAGGAUAUUUGAGAGGAGCUGUCCUUAGUACGAGAGGACCGGGAUGGACUGACCUCUGGUGUACCAGUUGUUCCGCCAGGAGCACAGCUGGGUAGCUAAGUCGGGAAUGGAUAAACGCUGAAAGCAUCUAAGCGUGAAGCCAACCUCAAGAUGAGAUUUCCCAUAGCGUAAGCUAGUAAGAUCCCUUGA